rnacentral:rRNA from 1 species
AGUGAACGCUGGCGGUAGGCCUAACACAUGCAAGUCGAACGGCAGCACAGUAAGAGCUUGCUCUUACGGGUGGCGAGUGGCGGACGGGUGAGGAAUACAUCGGAAUCUACUUUUUCGUGGGGGAUAACGUAGGGAAACUUACGCUAAUACCGCAUACGACCUACGGGUGAAAGCAGGGGAUCUUCGGACCUUGCGCGAUUGAAUGAGCCGAUGUCGGAUUCGCUAGUUGGCGGGGUAAAGGCCCACCAAGGCGACGAUCCGUAGCUGGUCUGAGAGGAUGAUCAGCCACACUGGAACUGAGACACGGUCCAGACUCCUACGGGAGGCAGCAGUGGGGAAUAUUGGACAAUGGGCGCAAGCCUGAUCCAGCCAUACCGCGUGGGUGAAGAAGGCCUUCGGGUUUUAAAGCCCUUUUGUUGGGAAAGAAAAGCAGCAGGUUAAUACCCCGCUGUUCUGACGGUACCCAAAGAAUAAGCACCGGCUAACUUCGUG